rnacentral:rRNA from 1 species
UACGGGGGGGGCAAGCGUUGUUCGGAAUUACUGGGCGUAAAGGGCUCGUAGGCGGCCAACUAAGUCGGAUGUGAAAUCCCCAGGCUCAACUUGGGAACUGCAUCCGAUACUGGAUGGCUUGAAUUCGGGAGAGGGAUGCAGAAUUCCUGGUGUAGCGGUGAAAUGCGCAGAUAUCAGGAAGAACACCCGUGGCUAAGGCGGCUCUCUAGUACGGUACUGACGCUGAGACGCGAAAGCGUGGGGAGCGAACAGG